UACGAAGGGGGCUAGCGUUGCUCGGAAUCACUGGGCGUAAAGGGUGCGUAGGCGGGUCUUUAAGUCAGGGGUGAAAUCCUGGAGCUCAACUCCAGAACUGCCUUUGAUACUGAAGAUCUUGAGUCCGGGAGAGGUGAGUGGAACUGCGAGUGUAGAGGUGAAAUUCGUAGAUAUUCGCAAGAACACCAGUGGCGAGGGCGGCUCACUGGCCCGGUACUGACGCUGAGGUGCGAAAGCGUGGGGAGCGAACAGG
rnacentral:rRNA from 1 species